UAAGGAUCACUCCCCUGGGUGAUGUGGGAUGUUAUAAAUUUGUUAUAUGUAAAAUGUACCUUUUUUUAUUAUAAAAUCUAUUCAAUUUUUUUUUCUAUUCCAUUUUUAAACUUAUAUGGAUGGGUACAUUCUUUUUUCUUUGACUUGAAAAUGUAUUCAUGUCAAGUUUAAUCAAAGAAAUUUACUAAUGUUAUUAAGCCUAAUAUUUUUUUUCAUUGUUGUGAUUUUGAAGAAUGUACCCAUGUUUUGGUACAAUAAUUUUUUGAUUAAUUUAGAUGAAUGUUGUUACAUCCCACAUCGCCUAAGGAAAUGGAUCAUGUAAGCCUUUGUAUAUUCUCAUUUCUAUCUAGCACGAGACAUUUUAGGACCUCACUAGCUUCGGGGUUCCGUAGGAACUCCAAAGUUAAGCGAGCUCAGGCGAGAGCAUUCUCAAGAUGGGUGACCCACUAGGAAGUUCUCGUGUGAGUUCCUAAAAACAAAACCAUGAAGGCGUGGUAGGGGCCCAAAACGGAUAAUAUCGUGCUACGGUGCAGUCGAGUCCGAGAUGUGGUGGGGGCCCAGGCCGAGAUGUGACAAAUAUACCCAUGUUUAUACACACACACACACACACACAAUAGUAUAAUUUAUAUUUUAAUAUUUUUAAUCGCUCAAAUUAUGAUUUUUUAUUUAAAAUCUCAUUAAUAUAAACAACUAUAAAUUUCAAUUUUUAAUUACAAAAUAUAGUAAUAUACAUAAAAAUAAAUUAUCACAUUAAUUUCAGGAAUUUCGAUAAAAAAUUAAAAACCAAUAAGAUUUCAAUUAAAGAAUAUUCAUAACCAGAAACAGCAUCCAAAGUAUCCUUUUACUUUAUUUGAGGAAAAGUUAGUUUAUGUGCAUUAGUUUUUUCUUUGCCCCGAUACUUUGACAUGCUUUGUCAAGCAACUACGUUUCUCUUGAUUGCUAAGCUCAGAGGAAAUGUCAUGUCCCAAGAGUUGAAUAUCAGAGUGCGCAACGAACGAGACUAAAAAAAUAAUAGGAAUUAUUAUUAAACAAACGAGAAUGCCAGAACGGCUACAAAACCUUAAGAGACUACAUUUUGAAUAACUUAUUCUAAAUUGAAUAACAAGCAUGCUAUUUAUAAUAAACUAACCCUAACCUAAAAAGGUAAGAAACCGAAACUCUAAUGUUAACGGGCUAAGCCCAGAAAACCAAAUAUUCAAAUAAACUAAAAUCCUAAUAUUUUCCAACACCCCCCCCCCGGUCAAACUCAUGACGGUAUACAACAUGGGUUUGCAAACAAGCAGAUGCGGCCUGGCUCCGUUUGACGGACUGGCAGGCAUGCAAACUUGACUUGACUUGACUUAACUUGACUUGAUUGGCGAACUUGACUUGGUUGGCGAACUUGACUUGACUGGCAAACUGGCAAACUGAUUCUUGAUUUUUGACUUGAUUCUUAAUUCUGACUGGCAAACUAGUUCUGGUUCAAAUUGGCUAGUGUUGAGAGUAUGGAAAGAACCCGUCUAUAAACGGACGAGACUUUCAUAUCUCAAUUAUAGCAACGAACAAAAAAACACAAAUACUAUCACUCGACUGGUCACAAUUCAACACUUGAGUGACAGUCACAAAACAAUUCCAAAGAGUAUGUGGGCCUAAAACAAACGUAAACCAUAUGUUUUUUCUUUUGCCCGUGCGGGGGCCUCAAAAACUCCAAACAAUUUUUUCUUUUUCCUUCUUUUUUCUCUCUUAUUCUGUUUUUUUUUUCUUUUUCUUUCAUUUUGUUUCUAGACUGGCAGAUACAAACGCCCAGAUUGUAACUGGAUCUAGUACAAGUUCAUGGGAUCUAGGCUUGCGAAGAUGGUACGACAAGGGUGCAGCUUCGGUGGUUUUGACAGGUGACAACAGGGAAAUCAUGGAUGCAGAGCAACAUUGGCAGGUCAGGUACUGGUGCGGGUCGAGCGAGGGUUGAUUAAGCGACAUGGUAGUGAUGCGGAGAUGCGAGUUGUUGCAGCAGCGGAGGAGGAUCAUGCAGGUGAUGGUGGGUGCGGGAAGCAAGUGGUGCAACGAUGGCCUAUUGCGGAAUGGUUCACAUAGAGACGACGAGGGUAGACCUACGAAGGCUGGUGGCUGGUGUUUCAGGUAUGCAGGGAUCUGAGGUGGUGCGACUUCAGAGCAAACAUGUUCAAUUUUUUUCUUUUCAAAACUAACACUGAAAACUAAUAUCAAACAAACAACAACAACAUGGAUACCUAUUAAGAACAGAUUAAAUCCUGAAAGAUUAAACCUGCUCUGAUACCAAGUUGAAUAUCAGAGUGUGCAACGAACGAGACUAAAAAAAUAAUAGGAAUUAUUAUUAAACAAAUGAGAAUGUCGAAACGGCUACAAAACCCUAAGAGACUACAUUGUGAAUAACUUAUUCUAAACUGAAUAACAAGCAUGCUAUUUAUAAUAAACUAACCCUAACCUAAAAACGUAAGAAACCAAAACCCUAAUGUUAACGGGCUAAGCCCAGAAAACCAAAUAUUCAAAUAAAAUAAAAUCCUAAUAUUUUCCAACACCAAGGAGACUGAAACUUAGUUUAGAUGGUGUGGCUUGCCAACACCUUCAAUACUGUCACUUGGAAACAUGUCUACAGAGAGGUCAACUUUUUUCGCGAAUGCUUUUACAAGUUGUGGCCUGAGCUUCCAGAAUUAUCAUAUUUGGGAUCUUUCUUUGCCUUCAAAAGCUUGGAAUGUGUUUUUCUUUGAUUGUAUUGAAACUGAUUUUACUCUUAAUUUCUCUUUCUAAUGCAUUCUCUUUUCUUGAGCAAAAAUAUAAAACGAUGUUGCUAGUGUGUCGUGAUAGGUUCAAUCAGCAUAAUUGGUAAAAUAUGAAAAAUGUCUGAUACAUGAAGAAUACACACAUAUAUAUUAUAGGAAAACAAACAAAAAUGACUCAUUUUAUUAAUUUUAUGAUUAAAAUAAGACAAAUCGGUCAUACAUAAACCAUGCUAAUCAUGCACAAAAGUGAAAUGAUGAAAAUACUUAGAUAUAAAUUGUAAAAACUCACAGGUGAUGACGUGAGCUCUGGAUGUUUGGGUUGAGCUUAGAUAUGUGAGCAUAUUAUGUAGGUCAUGUACAUAUUGUGUACAUAUAGUGUACAUAGUGCGUAUUUUUAACUCAAUCAUUACGCAAAACGAGAUUUCUCCUUCUCCAUCACUACCAAUUUAUCCUUCUCCGUCAUAGAUCCUACUCCCGACACCUCUGAAACCUCAAAGUUCAAGCACAACAAAGAUUUGGAAAAAGAGAACAAAAACUCAGAAAAAUUUGAAGUAACCAAAAUCACUUGGAGAAUCUAUGUGUGAAAACAAGAAGAAACUUGGGAGGUAGAAACCCAAUAAGAUACGGGAAUUUUAGUAAAACCCAAACAAGUAAACAGAAAAUUAAGAAAACCCCAACAAGGAUAAACCUCGCAGCAAGAAAAAAAAGUUGGCGGGAUGGGAGAGAAGGAAGUGUUUAGGAGUUUUCAAGCAGAGAAAAAAUGGUCGUGUGGUGAUCCGAGAGAGAGAGAGAGAGAGAGAGAGAGUGGAGUGGCACCACCACAUCCCACCUCUUGAAGCACCUUCUCAUCCUUCAAAUUCAACCCCACCAUCGCCUCUCCCAACCCGUAGCUCAACUCCACCAGCACAUCCAGGUUCUGAUAGUGAAAAUAACGUGGAAAAGUAUGUAUGCACAUGUAGUGUACAUUGGAAUUUUAAAAAGAUGUAAUUUAACGAAACAAUGAGAUGUGCACGAAAAAUGGAUGUAUUUUUGAAAAAUAUGUACAUACGCGAAUUUACUAACUAUGUUAAUUAGCUUUAAGCCGUUAUCGUUUGAUUUAAAUAAGUCAAGUCUUUUCUUCUCUUACAUGCCCAUUUUUAUUUAUAACCUUUAAAUUGAAUAAAUUAAACAAUAGCAACAAAAAUGAUUAAACUGUUGCGAAUUGUGUGUCUAUUUAGGAAUGUGAUUGUAUAAACUUAAAAGUAGAACCCAAGUAGGAUUUUGAGACCAAAUCUUCAUAGCCUUUGUAUUACUUGGAAGGCAAGAAAGCCUAUCAUGGUUAGUAUAAAUAACGGUACAAGGCCAUAAGGGGAAUACAAUUAUCAUAAACAUGAGCACUUCUCUCUUCCUAUGUAUUCCCACUCUCUCUCACCACUUUCAAAGUUUAUUUCACAACACGUUAUCAGCACAAAGUUUCUCUGCAAGAAAGAGAAGAUCCUAAAGAAAAUCUCACGAAAGCUUUUCACCAUCUUAUAUCAACAUUCAAGUAAUCCUAAACCCUAGUUUAUUUGGUUUCAAUUUAUUUCAUGCCAUGAAUACUAUGAUUAGUGUUCUAUGCUAUAUGCAUGUUAUAUGUUGAUGUACAUGUGUGUGAGCAUAUCAAAAAAUAAAAAAUAAAGAAGAGAAAAGAAAGAAAUUCCAAAACCCUAUACCGCGAAAGUCCCGGUUGGAGUCGAGAACCCAAAACCUCCACCAAGUUUAUAGGUGAAGAUUCGUGCCCCAUGGUCCAUGCCGGCAUAAGUUCCCUCUGCUGUACCAAAUUAAGGUUCCUUUGAGCACCCAUGGCUUGUGCCUUGCCUGGAACCACCUCUCUCAGUUCGAUCAAGGAUGAUAGCGAGGUUUGGAGUCUUUUGGCUCGAUCCCAUAAACCCCAGACGAUGCCUGAUAUGGUGAGUCUAGUAAUUUUGGCGAGAGAGACAUACCAGUGAUUCGGUUGGUGUGUGUCAAAUUGUACAGGCCCAACUUUAGUUGGAAUCUACCAAAAUACCUACUUAGCUUCGGUAAGGGUCUACUGAAGGACACACCCAGUCUCGGCUGGGGUGUAUUGAACAAAGUGUUUUGCUUCGGCUGGAACCUAUGGAAUCACACCCCGAAUUUCGAUUGGGGUGUAUCGAAUCUAUUCAUCUAGCUUCGUGAAGAGUACCGUACAGACCCCGCAUUCGGUUGGACCUUCCGAACCCAUGUUUGGGUUUGUCCACACGUACACAUGUCCCGAUACUUGGGUCCGAGAGGGUCAAACAAACCCUUUGACGAGUCUGGAAGACUCCCACACAUAGUGAUGAAAAUAUUAGCAUAAAAAACGAAGUGAUGAGGAGAAAAGAUGACCUAUGUUUUUAAGAGAAUGAAUGGUUGGAAGUGAUAAUAAUUAGAAGUAUAUAUAUAUAAACCACAAUAAUGGCCAGUAGUAAGAAAGCGGAUUGCGGCUUCCUAAUGAAUAAAAAAAUGUAGGAGAUUCUAGGUACGAUGUUCCGAGCUAGUAAGUCUGCCUGAUUGUGAUCACGGACAUAGUGAAAUUUGUUAGAAAAUAUUAGUAUUUAGGGUUACUUUAAUGUUUGGCUUUCUGGGUUUAGCCCGUUAGCAUUAGGGUUUCGGUUUCAAGUUUAGUUUAUUAUAAAUAACAUGUUUGUUAUUCAAUUGAGAAUAAGUUUGUCACGAUGUAGCAUUUUGAGAUUUUGUAGCCGUUUCUGCAUUCUUGUUUGUUUAAUAAUAUUCUUAUUAUUUUGUAAUCUUGUUCGUCGCGCACCCU
rnacentral:lncRNA from 1 species